UGGUGGGUACCAAUACCUUGUCUUUAAUGU
rnacentral:piRNA from 1 species